rnacentral:rRNA from 1 species
UACUGGUUAUCUUGAGUUGUAUUGAAGUAGGCGGAAUAUGUAGUGUAGCGGUGAAAUGCAUAGAUAUUACAUAGAACACCAAUUGCGAAGGCAGCUUACUAAGUACUAACUGACGCUGAUGGACGAAAGCGUGGGUAGCGAACAGGAUUAGAUACCCUGGUAGUCCACGCCGUAAACGAUGGAUACUAGCUGUUCGGGGCCUUGAGCUCUGAGCGGCUAAGCGAAAGUGAUAAGUAUCCCACCUGGGGAGUACGUUCGCAAGAAUGAAACUCAAAGGAAUUGACGGGGGCCCGCACAAGCGGUGGAGCAUGUGGUUUAAUUCGAUGAUACGCGAGGAACCUUACCAGGGCUUAAAUGUAGUCUGACAGCUUUAGAGAUAGAGUUUUCUUCGGACAGAUUACAAGGUGCUGCAUGGUUGUCGUCAGCUCGUGCCGUGAGGUGUCAGGUUAAGUCCUAUAACGAGCGCAACCCCUGUCGUUAGUUGCCAGCAUGUCAUGAUGGGGACUCUAACGAGACUGCCGGUGCAAACCGCGAGGAAGGUGGGGAUGACGUCAAAUCAUCACGGCCCUUACGUCCUGGGCACACACGUGCUACAAUGGCCGGUACAGAGAGCAGCCACGUCGCAAGGCGGAGCGAAUCUAUAAAACCGGUCACAGUUCGGAUC